GGCCGCGAAUAUUUGGACAAUGGGCGCAAGCCUGAUCCAGCCAUGCCGCGUGAGUGAUGAAGGCCCUAGGGUUGUAAAGCUCUUUUGUGCGGGAAGAUAAUGACGGUACCGCAAGAAUAAGCCCCGGCUAACUUCGUGCCAGCAGCCGCGGUAAUUA
rnacentral:rRNA from 1 species